rnacentral:rRNA from 1 species
GGGCCCGCACAAGCGGUGGAGCAUGUGGUUUAAUUCGAAGCAACGCGAAGAACCUUACCAAGAAUUGACAUCUCCCUUUAAUGAGCUGAAAGGCUCAAAGCCUUCGGGCGAGGGAAGACAGGUGGUGCAUGGUUGUCGUCAGCUCGUGUCGUGAGAUGUUGGGUUAAGUCCCGCAACGAGCGCAACCCUUAUUGUCAGUAACCAGCGCGUAAUGGCGGGGACUCUGGCGAGACUGCCGCGGAUAACGCGGAGGAAGGCGGGGACGACGUCAAAUCAUCAUGCCCCUUAUAACUUGGGCUACACACGUGCUACAAUGGCCAAAACAAAGCGAAGCGACCCCGCGAGGGGAAGCAAACCGCAAAAACUGGCCUCAGUUCGGAUUGUAGUCUGCAACUCGACUACAUGAAGCCGGAAUCGCUAGUAAUCGCGAAUCAGCAUGUCG